UUAUGGAAUGUUCCGUCACUCUCUCUCUCUCAAAACCUUGAAUUAGAUAUCGUCUCUCUCAGCCUCAACCUAGAACACAUCGACCUCACCAUCGACGAGCUCUGUCGGCCAGCUCGGGCGAAGGACGAUAACUGCCGGUGAAUGAUGACCAGUUUCGGCUAACAUACGAGCAAUCUCCGAGCGAUUGCGAAUGAAAGCAGUGAUGAAGACCUUACUUGAGUGUUGUUGAUCGUUGUUAGACUUUCUAUUAUCAUGUUCAAGGAUAUUUUAGUUUAGAGCUUUAUUUUUGUAUGCAAACUCAUAUAUUUUAACUUUUGAAUUGUUGAUCAAACAAUGUAUUCAUAUUUUGUUUUUGUUUAUGGAUAAUGCUAGUUGGAUAUUUUAAUUUUA